ACUUGCUAGUCCAAGGACUGCACAGAUGCUAGUGGGAAAGAACAAGAAACAAAUUAGAGCAAGAUGCACAUCUCAAGCAGCAGCAACAGAAGCCUUCUCCAAGAAAGAUGCAAACAUGGAAUUGUGAUACCAAGAUUCAGCAUUACUACUUCUGCUAAACAUACAGAGAUCUUGGCAAUAUAAUUCUGCAAUUCCUGCGACACUGGUGGGGAAGUCAGCCAGCCUGUUCUGGACAAGCAGCACACACAGAACACAGCGCCUCUGCUCCCAACGAUUUUCUAACUGUAAGUACAAGUAAUUGAUACAGCAGUUGAAGUUUGGCCAACUGUUCAGGAGCGCACAAAGGAAAUGCUGCAUAGAAAUGUAAAAUCAUUAAAGGAAUAUUUUUUAUGGUUAUCUUAAAAAUACAU